GUGGGGAUAGCUUAGUUCGGAGAGUGUUAAAUUGAAGAUCUGAAGGUCGCGUGUUUGAUCCACGCUCACCGCA
rnacentral:tRNA from 1 species